rnacentral:lncRNA from 1 species
UGGUGACAAAGAUGCCAGCCCGGCCAGGCCAGCGGGAGACAAGUUCCUUGGGUGAGGGAGACGGGACGGGGCUCCCUGCACGACAUUCUGGAGCUCACAGUCUGGAUCCUGGACACCACCUGGUCACCUGUUGGGAGCUCUUCACCCACUCUGGAGAGCAGCAUGAAGCAAAAGACAAAGAAAAGAAGCAUUCCUGGCCACCUGGUUUGUUCUUCCUGCUGGGCCACGGCUGGGUAGCACCUUCUCCUGUCCAGCUCCACAGUGGCAGAGUUGGGCAGGAGCCAGCUUGCAGGCUCGAUAGCUCCCAACCCCAGAC